AUACGUAGGGAGCGAGCGUUGUCCGGAUUUACUGGGUGUAAAGGGUGCGUAGGCGGCUCUGCAAGUCAGGUGUGAAACCCAUCGGCUUAACUGAUGGACUGCAUUUGAAACUGUAGGGCUUGAGUGGAGUAGAGGCAGACGGAAUUCCCGGUGUAGCGGUGAAAUGCGUAGAGAUCGGGAGGAACACCAGUGGCGAAGGCGGUCUGCUGGGCUUUAACUGACGCUGAGGCACGAAAGCAUGGGUAGCAAACAGGAUUAGAUACCCUGGUAGUCCAUGCUGUAAACGAUGAUUACUAGGUGUGGGGGGUCUGACCCCCUCCGUGCCGGAGUUAACACAAUAAGUAAUCCACCUGGGAAGUACGACCGCAAGGUUGGA
rnacentral:rRNA from 1 species